AAUUAAUUUUAUAUUUGUGCCAGGGUUCGAGGAAACCUCUUUGGAGUGGCGAUUUGGAUUUCGUCGGGCUUAUUCCUAGAGUUGUGAGUGGACUUUUGUUUUAAAUAAAAUACAUGCUAUAGUUCAUAGAUGAACAAUUAAUGUUAUGGAGCAUUUUGACGUCAUUUGAUUUUGACGAUUUUAUUUCUCUUGGAGAGUUACCGAAAAUGGGAUUUUCGGUGAAUAUAAAUAUGUAUUUAUGAGGAGAGUAUGUAUAAAAAUGCUAGCUAGCCCUAUGUGUCUGUCCACCUUAAUGGCGUAGCAUAUAGCCGCAUUAUGGUGUGACGUAAGCGUUCGACGCGAGCGUAGUAGCCUUAUAUGAGUGUUUAAUUCAUAUAGGGGGUAUGAGCACAUAUUUAUACACCCGUCUGUCCACCUUAAUGGCGUAGUGUAGCAUAAGGGGUAUGGGCACAUAUUUAUACAUCCGUCUGUCCACCUUAAUGGCGUAGUGUAGCACCGCAUUAAGGCGUGACGUGAGCGUUGGACGCGAGCGUAGUAGCCCUAUAUAGACCCAUGAAUUUAUAUAGGGAGUAUGGACGUGUGUAAAUACAUACAUAUAUUAUAGAGCCUGAGAGGCUCGACAUUUAUGAGAUAAAAAUUUUAUCGCUUGCAGCAUGCAUUCGAUUUUCCUUGGAAAUUGAUUUGAGAAAACAUAAAUAUUUUAUUAGUUAAUUUAUUUUUGUUCACUCACUCUAACGUGUUUCAAAUGUUUUCCCCUGGGCUCUUCGUUUUAAAAAUGUCUAGUUUGCAGGAUUGCAUAGUUGAGGUCGGGCGUACAUGGAGAUGAGGCAUAGUCAUCAUAUAGCUUCCGCUUGUUAAUUUAUUAUGUUUCCUUUCUUCCUGUUAGAGUUGCUCUGAACCUAUAAAUAGUUGGAUAUGAGAUUUGUUUAGAUUAGUAAAUAAUUUGGGUGGUGUUGUGAUUUGGGGAGCACGGAGGCUCCAGGAGUUUAAGGUUGGAUUUAAAUUUUCAGAAGUGUUUGCAGGUAUUAUUAGGAAGGGUUGUCCAUUUUCAAAGGAGGUUAUGCCGAUUUUUUGGUAAAUUUUCCUUAGAGGUGGUCCCCGCAGGAUUUACUUCAGAUUUCAGGGUGAAAUUCGGGGUGGGUUCUGAUAUAUACAUAUAUAUAUAUAUAUAUAUAUACACAAUGCUGAUCAGGUGCGGACGUCCGCACCAAAGUUUUGGUGCGGAUUUCCAUUUUUGCACCACUUCCCGAUUGAAUUUUGAUGUGUUUUAAAAUGUUACUCGCAAGCGCACGAAUCAGUUGCAGCACAGAUAUGCAAGAGCGAGGUCGAACCCACAGGGAAUGUAUGAAAAUAAGAAAAACUAAUCGAAUCUAAAUUAAUUUAACACUAACCUAGUUGAAUGAAAGUUGAUGGUGAAAUAGCUAAGACAAAUAAAAUAGAUAAAAAAUUACCUUGAUGACGAAGUAACUAAGGCAUCGGAUUCCACCACAUUACUUGAUAAAUCUCUAAAUAUUAUCUACUAAUUCCCGAAUUAGGAGUAGCAAUCUAGAAAUCAAUCUACUGCUUUCUCAAGAUUUAACAAUGAAGCACACAUGAAAUAUAUCUAAAGUAGACUCUUCUUCGCUUCUUAAUUAUGAACAUCAAAGCAUCACAUGUACACAAACUUAUUG
rnacentral:lncRNA from 1 species